CAAAGGAAGUUGACGGGGAGCACUACAACGGGUGGAGCCUGCGGUUUAAUUGGAUCAACGCCGGAAAUCUCACCGGGGCGACAGCAAUAUGAAGGUCAGGCUGAAGACCUUACCCGAUUAGCUGAGAGGUGGUGCAUGGCCGUCGUCAGUUCGUACUGUGAAGCAUCCUGUUAAGUCAGGCAACGAGCGAGACCCACGUCCACAGUUGCCAGCAUACCCUCCGGGGUGAUGGGUACACUGUGGAGACCGCCGCUGCUAAAGCGGAGGAAGGAGUGGGCAACGGUAGGUCAGUAUGCCCCGAAUCUCCCGGGCUACACGCGGGCUACAAUGGUUGGUACAAUGGGCAUCUACCCCGAAAGGGGAAGGAAAUCUCUUAAAGCCAAUCGUAGUUCGGAUUGAGGGCUGCAACUCGCCCUCAUGAAGCUGGAAUCCGUAGUAAUCGCGUUUCAACAGAACGCGGUGAAUACGUCCCUGCUCCUU
rnacentral:rRNA from 1 species